GGGCAGGCAGAUUUUGCACUCUUGGUAUGUUCUGGCUUUUAGAGAUUCGUAGUAACCGAACGAGGAUUUUAUACAUUGGAUAUAUGUUGGCGCGGCUUGCUAUUAAUAUAUGUUGGCCCGGCUUGACCGGCCUGUCGGCCCGGCUGUUUCUUCAUAAUACACCCGAAUCCGGAUCUCCCGUGUCAGCAUACCGGAUCUCCAGUGCCGCAACUUUCAAGAAUGGAAACUAACUCAGAUCCGAUCGGAUCGGCAAUUACCAGCACUGAUCCGUCUCCCACGACCGGCGAGAGUAGCCGCCGGCGAACGGCUCUGCCUUGGCGGUCGAGUAAGCAGAAGCAGGACGCCGCUGGCUGCGGAUCACCAUCAGUUUCCGGUUGUAGUCAGCGCGGGUGUCAGGAUCAGAAAGCGUGGCAUAGGCCGCGUGGAUCCUCAUGAACUCAUCGGCCGACGCACCUCCGCUGCCGCCGGCAAGGGUGUCGGGAUGGCACGUGCGGGCCAGACGUCGAUACGCUGUCUUGAUUUCCUGCGGUGUUGCUUCGGUGACGACGCCAAGAACUUCGUAGAGGGAGGGCGUGGGUGGGGUGAGCAGCUGGGAGGGGAGAUCCGCCGCCGGGGCGGAAUAGUAGGCGGCGGUGACGCGUCGGGGGAUGAGCGAAGGGCGUCUGGAGCUAAGUGGUCGGGCAGUCAUUCCGACGCCAAAGAAUUGAGAGGGGCACAAGGGGAUUAGAGGAGCAGCAGUCAUUGGGUUG
rnacentral:misc_RNA from 1 species